GAUGAACGCUGGCGGCGUGCCUAAUACAUGCAAGUCGAGCGAACAGACGAGGAGCUUGCUCCUCUGACGUUAGCGGCGGACGGGUGAGUAACACGUGGAUAACCUACCUAUAAGACUGGGAUAACUUUGGGAAACCGGAGCUAAUACCGGAUAAUAUAUUGAACCGCAUGGUUCAAUAGUUAAAGACGGUUUUGCUGUCACUUAUAGAUGGAUCCGCGCCGCAUUAGCUAGUUGGUAAGGUAACGGCUUACCAAGGCGACGAUGCGUAGCCGACCUGAGAGGGUGAUCGGCCACACUGGAACUGAGACACGGUCCAGACUCCUACGGGAGGCAGCAGUAGGGAAUCUUCCGCAAUGGGCGAAAGCCUGACGGAGCAACGCCGCGUGAGUGAUGAAGGUCUUCGGAUCGUAAAACUCUGUUAUUAGGGAAGAACAAAUGUGUAAGUAACUAUGCACGUCUUGACGGUACCUAAUCAGAAAGCCACGGCUAACUACGUG
rnacentral:rRNA from 1 species